CCAAUCGAACCCGGAGAUAGCUGGUUCUCCUCGAAAUAGCUUUAGGGCUAGCCUCGUUUUAGUCUUAUGGAGGUAGAGCACUGAAUUUCCGCGGGGGCGUCAAAGCUUACCAAAGAAUAUCAAACUCCGAAUGCCAUGUAGAUGAUGAACGGGAGUCAGACUGCACGAGAUAAGUUGGGCAGUCAAAAGGGAAAGAGCCCAGACCACCGGCUAAGGUCCCAAAGUGUGUGUUAAGUGGAAAAGGAUGUGGGAAUUCGAAGACAACUAGGAUGUUGGCUCAGAAGCAGCCAUACAUUCAAAGAGUGCGUAACAGCUCACUAGUCGAGAGUUCCUGCGCCGAAAAUGUCCGGGGCUGAAACACGACACCGAAGCCGUGGACUCGCAAUGCGAGUGGUAGAGGAGCAUUCUUAAAACCGACGAAGCUGUACCGGAAGGAGCAGUGGAGGGAUAAGAAGAGAGAAUGCCGGAAUGAGUAGCGAGAGGAAGGUGGGAAUCCUUCCGGCCGAAUAUCUAAGGUUUCCAGAGUAAAGCUGAUCUGCUCUGGGUAAGUCGGGGCCUAAGCACAGGUCGCAAGACGUAAGCGAUGGAUAACAGGUUUAGAUUCCUGUACCACGCAUUAUCAGAACUGUAGGGACGCAUGUGGAAAGCACGGGCCGGGAAUGGAAAAACCGGUACAAGCGGGGUAGGUGUACGAUAGGCAAAUCCGUUGUAUAAUCCGAAGACGUGAUGUGGAGCGAAAUAAAGUAGUGAAGCGUGUGAGCCAUGUGCCGAGAAAAGCUGCUAUUGUGUAAUGCGUGCCCGUACCGUAAACCGACACAGGUGGAUGAGGAGAGAAUCCUAAGGCCGGCGGAAGAAGCAUUGUUAAGGAAUUCGGCAAAAUGACCCCGUAACUUCGGGAGAAGGGGUGCCUGCGAGAGCAGGCCGCAGAGAAUAGGCUCAAGCAACUGUUUAGCAAAAACACAGGUCUAUGCGAAACCGAAAGGUGAAGUAUAUGGGCUGACGCCUGCCCGGUGCUGGAAGGUUAAGAGGAGAGGUUAGCGUAAGCGAAGCUUUGAAUUUAAGCCCCAGUAAACGGCGGCCGUAACUAUAACGGUCCUAAGGUAGCGAAAUUCCUUGUCGGGUAAGUUCCGACCCGCACGAAAGG
rnacentral:rRNA from 1 species